rnacentral:rRNA from 1 species
CCUACGGGUGGCAGCAGUGGGGGAUAUUGCACAAUGGGGGGAACCCUGCUGCAGCGACGCCGCGUGGGUGAAGAAGCGCCUCGGCGCGUAAAGCCCUGUCAGCAGGGAAGAAAAUGACGGUACCUGAAGAAGAAGCCCCGGCUAACUACGUGCCAGCAGCCGCGGUAAUACGUAGGGGGCAAGCGUUAGCCGGAUUUACUGGGGGUAAAGGGGGCGCAGACGGCGAUGCAAGACAGGAGAGGAAGCCCGGGGGCCAACCCCGGGACUGCGGUUGGAACUGCGUGGCGGGAGUGCAGGAGGGGCAGGUGGAAUUCGUGGGGUAGCGGGGAAAUGCGGAGAUAUCAGGAGGAACACUGGUG